CCCACUUCCCGUUUUCGGUCCGUUCAUCAUGCUCGAUCCGCAAUCCUCUCGCCGUCGAGCGCCGCCGCCGCCACAUCUCAUGUCUGUCUGUAGUCCCCUGGCCGACUCCAAUCACACCUCCACGGCCCCCCAACUCCGAUGCCCACGCUCGCCUUCCACGGGAUGAACGUCGCCCGUCUCCAACGCUCGCCCCCAGUGUGGAUUGCCGCCACCUACCACUACUGCUCACCACGCGAAUCUGCCAUUCUUCCACAAUAUAUGGACGAGCGCCUUCACAUAGUACCCCUACAACUCCUCUGCUCGGCCGCUGCCGCACGGACGCGGUUGCAGUCGUCGUCGCCGUCAGCCGCUCCACCACUCGGCUGCUGCUGCAAGGAUGCGGUCAGCGCCGGCCUCUCCUGGAGCGCGGGUCGUCGCCGCCCGCCGCUCGGCUGCUGCCCCAUGGACACGCUCGCCCACACCCCUAGAGCCGCUGGCCUCUCCUGGAGCGCGGGUCGUCGUUGCCGCCGGCCGCCGCCACACGCGGCGCAUUGAGGACCUAGCCCCUAGCCUUCAAGAGGCAUCUUUUCCCGCUAGAAAUAAGACAGGUUGCAGAGGGAGUUCAUCAUGUACCAGGACUGGUUGAAGCACGAUUCACUAACAUGGAUGAGGCCUGGGGCAUCCUGCAAACUGGAAGCAAAGCCAGAGUUGGUGGUUGGUUCUACAAAUGCUAACCAGCACAGUAGCCGGUCACACUGGUCGUUCACCAGAUUUUCAUUCACUCGCACCAAGUUGCAGACCGUAAAAUCUUGUCCUCCUAAUUUUCCAUACAGUAUAUAGUGUGAUGGUCAAAGGAGAAAACUUGAUGAAUGCCAUAUCUGCUAUUGCAACUAUGAGGCAGGAAUUCAAAUUUAACACACUUGCUGCAAGACUCACUAAGUGGAGACUCCAAAACUUUGAUAAUGUUUCAAAUUAGCCCAAACGAGAAUGACCCUGGCGAAACUCUCUGCUCUCUGAACUUUGCGAGCAGAAUGAGCGGGAUAGAGCUUGGACAGGCAAGGAAACAAGUUGAUGUUGGAGAACUGUCAAGAUAUAUAAGCGGACGGUACUUGCUCUAUUGCCCUCCCUGUUAGUUCAUGCUUUAGUACGAGUUUAGCCUCCACCUCUGAAGAUUUCGUGGUAACUUGCACCAGAGCUUUGCAUUCUAUGUCUGAAUACCUGACUGCAAAUAUGGUGUUGGAGAUAAAUAAAAUGCAUUGCCGCAUCGACAUGAAAUCAGAAUAUUCUUGCUCCUUUUUUAUGCAGCAAAUGCUACUGAACAUGUUAAGAAGAGUCAUGUACUGAUUGAGAUUCUUAGGGAAGGACAAGAAUAUGUUGAGAAGAGUGAAGUUUAAAGAUGACUGAAACUAAAGCUGCUGGUUUUGUUUUGUUUUCAUCGCCCUUGAACCGAACAUUUCUUCCUUUGCACGGAAUGCAUUUUUAGAUGCUACUCACCCAAAGUGUUAGAAUAUGAACAUUUUUUAUAUCCCAACUGGACAUUUUUUUAUCGAUAUCUUUUUGUAUGAAUCAUUUAUUUUUUGUUACGGUUGGACCAGUCCAUUUUCAGAAUUAUCAUGCGCAUCAUGGUUGUGAACUUGUUUGACUGGAAGGAUAACAUGAUAUUAAAAUAUAGAGUUAACAAUAGGUUAUCAAGUAUGAGAGGAUGUAUACAGAUUUAACAUGAUUUCUUGUUUAAUUAAGUCUUGAUUUGUUAGCUUUAUUUUGCCACUACAAAACCACUUGUCUUCCUACCAGGUAUGCUACAGUGAGAAGGAUCAACAAGGCUUCACUAAAAUUUUGUGCUUGGGAAAUGAUUUCAAACUUCCAAUUCCGCGUAACAGUGAGAGGGGCAACAAGGUUGCACUUUAUUCAUAUGCUGGAAAUCAAAUAUAUAUAGAGGAGAUUAUUUGUAUGAGUAAUUAUGAGAUGCUAUCCAUUUCAUGUGGAAUUUGAAACUUUAAACAAAUUUAUUAUAUAUUUGGUUAGGAUUUAUGAUGUUUGACAUAAUGUGUGUUACUGUAGACGUGCAUUGCACGUGCACACUUACUAGUAUUGUCAGUGCAAAAGUUUGCGCUGAUGGACCCAUAAGUAUUAGCAUGAACAAAAAAGUACUAUGUAUUUUUCGCAUUAAGUAUGCCCACGCAGAUCAGAACGUUCUUCGUCUUGGCAAGUAUUUUUUUCUAAAAACAGUUUCCACGCACUAGAUUUCCCUACAACUGUGUGUUGGGAAAAGUCAGUUUCGCCAACGGACUGUUGGACGGGAAAGAUUCUAUCGAACUGUUGGUGGGCAAUACUUGCGCAUCAUGACCAACUGUCGGUCGGGAAUAGUUGGAUAUUUGAUGUUUGAUUGUUGGUCGGGGAAGCAUCUUUUUCCAACUGACUGUUGGUCGGCGAUCAAUGCCGACCGAUUGCUAGUUGCCAUUUGGGCCGGCCCAUCUCUGCUCGUGCAGGCCAAAAACUUAGCGCCGGCCUCCCUUGUAUUUUUCCAUCCAACCUACUUGUGCCACGAACGCACCCCAGUUCUCCAAACCUAAAUCCUCAAGCGCUCCCUCCCUCCGCCGCCGACCGCUAGAUCUAGCAGCCCGCACGCCGUCGCCACUCUCCAGCACGCCGUCACCACGUCGGCGAGGUUGUUGCCAUGUACCCUCCAUCCUCCUCCACCCCCACUACUAUCCCCCAAACACUCCCAACCCUAGCUUGUGCGCUAGAGUUUGGGGAGAGAUAGAUUGCACCAGCGCGGAGAGGCCAAGGCGUGAUGGUGGACGCCGCCGUCUUUCUUGGAUCCGGGGGUGAGUGAGCGAGGUGCGUCACCAGGGAGAGAGAGCACUAGCACUCUCUCAUCACCCAAGUGCCUCCACCGCCGCCGCCGCCACGCCACGGGCCUCCUCCAAUCUGCCCUCGCCGGUUCUGUUGAUGGGGGAUCUGGCUGUUGAAUGCUAGUGCUUCCCCUCCCUUGGUGGUGAGUGUUGUUUUCCCUCUCCUUCUCCCUCUCUACCCCUCCCCCGUCCAGGGGCGGAUCCAAUGGGGGUUCCAUGGGUGCCUUGUCCCCCACUUGAAAAUGCAAAUUAUAUUUACUGUAUACUAGUUAGGCUAAUUUGUGUGUACUAUAUGUGUUUAAAUACGAGAGUAUUAAGCCUGGCACCCCCUCUCGUGAUGUUCUGGAUCCACCACUGCCCCCAUCAGUGCUGUCGUUUGUUGAUUUGUUCCUUUUCCCUUUUACAUUCAGAUCAGCCAUAACAUGUGGUAGUACUCCUAUCCAGCAAGCAGCGCUUUGGUUGGGAGCUCGAGGUGAAGUAGAAUGUAAGAUAUGGUUCCUAUAAUAGGGUAUUUUGUGCAUUGUCUAGAGUGUAUUGAACAAUUGCGAAAUUGUAUUAGUAAUUCUUAUAGUGAAAAGAUAGAUGUAAGGUCGUGGCUGAUAGUUUUCUAGCAAUUCUGUAUUGAAAUCGACAAAAUCUGGUAAACAUAUAAUCUAGUAGACAUUUGUGAGUAUGAAAUUUGCUCCUCUUCUCUGAUGAUGACUUCACCGGCAAUUUUAUUUUCUUAUAUUGCUAUAACAUUUUGUGCUUCUAAUGUUUUUCUGCACCAUUCGAGCUAGUAUGUUUUGCAUCAAAAAAUUAAAAGUGCACCGCGCUUUUUCAUCAAAUAUUCAUCUAUAGGUUGUAUGAUUUUAAUUUUCCUAAACCUCCCUGGGGCAUUCGUGAGAGGGAUACAAUGUAAAUAUUCAAUUUUGUGUAAUGAUUUUCACAAUAGCUUUUCUUGUGGGUUUGGCAAUUAUGUAAAGAUAAUUGAUUAUAGCACAAAACUGAAGAAGUUCUUGACCAUGUUUGUGUAACUUCUACAUAGUAAGGAAACUAUGUUGUAGGUUGCAGUACAUUUACAUGUCAUCGUAAGGAUUAAAACAUAUUUAUUCAUGCCUUUUUUUAUUGAAAGCAAAGACUGCUUUCUCGUGACUGUUGUUUGGAAAGUUAUCUCUCAGGUGGAAUUAGCUCAUGGUGGAAGUGAUUAAUCUUACUCGUAUGAUUGCACAAGCAGCGUUAGCAAUGGACGCCAUGGAGGUGUUUCUAGGUGCUCUGGGUACCAAGGAGGUAAAAUGGCAAGCGCAAGCGGAAAAGUUAAAGAUGGUGGGGUCAUCGAGGACCAACUGAAAGUAGCAGAGUAUGAACUAAUGAGAACUCGAAAAGUCGAAAGUAAGCCAUCCUGCUGAGUUAAAACGGUAGUAUAUUCAUCCACACAUUUUCAUUUUUGGUGGAAAGUAAACAUAGGUAGAAUAUUCAGCAGUACAAACACAACUAGUUGAAGUCAAUGAUAUAAGUUCUAUUCUGUUUAGAAAAUAAAACAUCUAAAACACAUGUGCUUUAUGUGAUGGCUUAGUUCCUCCCUGGUUUCCCUUUUUAAAUUCAUUGUAAUUUACUAACCCUUCUAGUUCUAUUAUCUGGGCUAGACCUCCACAUGUGUUUUAUGUGAUGGUUUAGUUCCUCUAGAGAUUACCUUGAAAUUUGGAAUUUUAAAGUCUUCCUGUGAUUACCAAUUA